GUAAGAGAUAACGUAACGAAUUGGUAUGAUCGUCGAUUAUGUCAUUUUCCGCUUAAUGAUACGAGAUAUUUGAUUCGAAUUGGUCGAUGAACGUUUUAACGAGUACAAGUACGAGUUAAUCGACCGAUAAAUAACAAGAAACGGACAAAAGCAAACCUACGUAUUCACAAGCCAGUUUGGGAUACACUAUAUUAUUGUUUCCUUCUUAGAACUAAAUCGAGUUUACUAUAAUGAUUGCAUUUAUGAAGCUGACUCUAGUAAACGUCACGCAGAAAUGUACAGGUGCAGGUGCCAAGGAGCUGGUUUAAAUUUAGCGAUAUCGCGUGCGGCCGAUACAUUUUCACAGGAUUAAUUGAUUUAACCUGAGGAAAGAAUCAUCCGUGCGUUAUCAGUAAAAUAUCAAACGCACGUUUAUAAAUAUUAAUAUAUGAAUUCUCUACAAACAAUAUAUUAAUUUUUAUAGAAAAAUAUAUUCGAUGAAGAAUGCUCUUUGUGCGAAUGAAACCAAAGAUUCGCGCCGUGCUUUAUCUUUAUCCGCACUAUUGUUUCAAUACAAUUAACAAUACGGAUAACACAACGUUUUAAAUCUCGAUAAUAGUAAUCGUUUGCCAAUUAUUAAUUACAAUACAAAUUUAAUAACGAUCUCCCAAGGACGAAUUACGCAUUGAAUGACACAGUCCGCGUUACGUCACUGAUAAGAUGUCGCACAUGUUUCGUGACACGAAUGCGUAUGACGAAACAUCGUGGGAGGAAAAGCGUCAAACGAUAAGAAGAAAAAAAAGUAGCUGGAAAGGAGAUCGUAAAAAAAUAUAAAAAAAAUAUAAAGAAAAUUCUUUCUCUCCUUUCGGAAUAAAAAAUGGAAUAAAAAAAUGAAUAUCGAAGCGAAAUGAAAAAAAAAAAGAAGAUAUACAAAUAUUUAUUAUAAUACUUUUUUAAUUUUAAACAUUCGCGUGAAAAAAUAAAUUAAAGAGAAAGCAUAAACAAAGGGCGAAAAUAGAUGAUAAAGAGACCAAUUAAAAAGCAAAAGAAAAGGAGAUAAAGGAAGAAAAGCGGAGGGGAAAAGUUAACAACAGGAUGAAAGAGAAACAAAAUACCGCACGAAUAUAAAAUAAAAAGAACUGAGAAAAAACUGAGGUUAAUGAAGAGGAUAAUUGUUAGG